AAGCGAAACGCCCCGUGAGGGGCGUCGUCAGGGCGUGGUGGCCUUGGCCUGAUGAGCAGCCAGAA
rnacentral:hammerhead_ribozyme from 1 species